UAGAAAGAGCGGGGCUGGAAGGGUCUUCUGAGGGAUCCCAGCCAGGGUGCAAAGCAGGAUCCACUCCUGCUGUGUGAAUGGCUCUGAGCAGCAGCAGUGGGAGCAGAUGGAAAACAGGUCUCUGAGCCCUGGCAGGGCAGGUGAGCAGGGUUGGAGGACCAACAACAGCCUAACUUCACUAUCAGAGUGCAAUAACCCUGCCAGAGACAGCAAGGCCAGGGAACCAAAGAGUUCCCACAAGAGACCCCAGGAGCCACAGCAGAUGCUUUGACAGGGUACAGGCUAUGAAAACUCUGAACCUGCUGUGAAAGAAAAGGUGCAAAGAGGAAGCAGAACAGUUGGGAGCUCAGCUAUGGAGGAGUCAGAACUCUGUGACAAGUGAUGUGAGCAGCAGUGUUGGCAGUGGGGGGAAAGGCGGUGCUCAAACAUAUGGCUGUGAGGCUGGGACUGGAAAAGUGGGGCUCCUGGGAGACUUCAACCCUUUAUGAGUGCUGGAGGGGAAUGUGAAGAAUGGCUGCCCUGCUCUCAGAGCUGAGAUGCCUGCAGCUCGCCUGACUUUGAAUGGUGGAGGUUUUGGGUUGCAUUAGCAUGAGUUAUUAGAGCAGGGAAAUGCUCCCAGUCCUUUGGUAUUUGUCACUGUCAGCAGCUCUAACUUCUCUCCUCAACUUCAAAACAGACAGCUAUAGGCAUUUAACUCCUGGGAAUACAAAUCCCACUUUCAUUCAGGUUCUUAGCCACCUGGAAGGGAAAACACGCUUUUGCACAGCAGACCCAGCUCCACAAGGACUUCACACUGUGAUCCUCAUACUCUGUGCUUCUCAGCUCUCUAUUCCCCACCAGCUCAUGGAAAUCAAACCUGGCUUUCUGAACAGCCUGCCCACAGGCUCCUCAGCAAGAGCUGCCCAGGAUCUGGGUACGUAACAAGCAUUCAUUCUCAAAGCUAUAAUCCACACACCCAAAGGGCCUUCUGGCAACUACUUUUCUUUGUCAUAUGAGCAGGGUUUACCUGAUCCUACAGUGAACACGUUCCAGACAUCCCAACCAUGCACGCUGUCAGCUGCUGUGUAAACCACCAGCCUGGGAAAUCAGGUGCCAAAUUAGUCCAGCAUCUGUGAAGAACCAAACCCUACAGGGCAAGCUUCAACAUCUGUUCUUGGCACCCACGCUGCGACAAGCUGCUUUGAAAACCUGCUUUACAUUUUUAACCAAUUGUUUGUCAUUUUAGUUCAGGAUAGGGCUGAAGCUGCACCCAUGAGACUCCUCAGCAGCAGCCAGUUAAUCCUGUAACUUGUGUAUAUGUUGAAUUGUCCAACUAACUCAGGCCAUGGGACUUUUUUGUUUGUUUGUUUUGACAUCUUAACCUUCUUGCUUCACUGAGAUUAUCUCAUGGAAGACUGCUCCUACCAGAGGUUCUCCAUGAUUUUUUUUACAGACCGGGCUAUGUUCAAACCUUCACAAUAUUCACAUCCUCUCAUCAAGACAGGGCCAUCCUCUCAUCCUCAGUGGACCAUGGGAUAGGAAGGGUGGUGGCAACCAUUUUCCCUAAGCUGCUGUUCAUCAUAAGAAGUGAGGGCUCCAGAGCUGGAUGUCUGCAUCAGUUCCACAGCUGACACUGGAUCCUACCCUCCUGCCCCCAGGCUGUCCUUCCACUGCCUUUAUCUCAGCUGACAGAUUUUCACACAGCUCAUCUAUCUCGGCAGAAUGGCUUUUUAUGGAAGCCAGUCCUGUUGAAAAUGUUUUAUCCAGCUCUAAUCAUGUCUUCUUCCCUUUCAGCCCUAGAUGAAAGCCGAAGAAAAUUAUGCAGAAAAUGAAGAAAUUUGAAGGGGGAGGAGGAGGGAAGUCAGUUGAACACCACAGAAUCCAUGAAGGACUUUGAGUUAAAAUACAUGCCCAUAGCCACACAAAUUUUUAUCUUACCCCUUCUCUUCUCUUAUUUUUAUGAGCUGGGAUUAAUUUAUAUUUUUUUUCCAUGAGGAACUACUUUAUCUCCUAAAGCCUGACACACCGACGUGGCCAGCACAGCAGUAACAGCAGCAGAGCUUUGCACCACAGAGGUUGUGGUGGAUGGGGCAGCCCAUGGUACUCCUAAGGAGCCCUGCAAGGAGCUAGCAUGGCUUCAGGGCUGCAGAUUUGCCUGAGAAGAUGCCAUCAGGUUUAGAGCUGACCCAGAACCAAAGACAAACAGAUAUAUGAGGUAAAACUGACAUCAAGAUUUCUUGCCUUUUUGAAGGCAAAGAUGGAGGGGUGGUGGAGCCAGGAAGAAGAGGGUGGGCUUGGAGAAGAGAGCUACCAGCUGCACAGCACAACCAGCAACCCCCUUCCUCCAAAGCCUCAGCAUUAUUGUGAACAGAGGACAUGAUUCUCAAGAGUGACCUUUGGCUUGGCAUAGCCUGGCUGGCAGAUGGAGCAAGGAGCCCCUCAGCCCGGGAAGGAGCAGUCCCGUGGAGCCCAGCGUUCCGUGACAGCGAGGCCUCUGCUGCCGAGCAAGAGGAAAGGACUUCCCAAGGCAUGCAACUACGUGAGUGACCUAAGGAUACCAAGGUGCUGCCAUCAUCAAAGACCCUGGGAUACAACUGGCCCUUCCACACAUCUCAGGAGAGGGAAAACCAAGCACACGAGGUGCCCAGGACAGCCUGGGUGCAGAGAUGACACUACUGCUCACUCAGCCUGGCUCCCACAGCUCCAGCCAGCCUACAGCUGGGGCAGGUCAUGGCCAUGGAGCAGAAGAACGAAGGCUUCUGAGAGGAGGAAGGUCAGAAGAGAGUGUUUAUGGCUGAGAUGUCACAGGAGGGCCACUUAAUUUGGAUAGAUGCUAAAUGGUCUCCCAAAAAAGUGCAGAUCCAGU